CGGCGGCGGAAAGGCGCCCCGGGAGCGGCGGCGCCGCGGGGCCGCGCACGGCCGGGAGCGCGGCCCCGGGCAGCUCCCGGCGCGGCCCCGCGCCCACCUGCCGCAGGCCGCGGACGGGGCGCGCCCCGCGGGGAACGGGCGGUUGGCCGCCGCGCCGGCACCCUCGGGAGCUACAGGUGUCCGCUCCCCACGGGCACCGCUCCCCGCGGUGUCCAGCCACCGGUACCGUCCCGCUGCCUCCGCGCGCCUUCUGCGGCGACUUUGGCCAGGCACAAAUAACUACCAAUGCGCGUGCGGAGGGGUGUCGAUACGCACCGUCUGAUCGGCUCGUGUGAAAGCCAGAAAAGCCUCCUAAAUCAUCACAGCCGUAAAUAAGUCAGUUAAAAUGUAUGGUCUGUAGAAAGAGGAAUUAUUUAAACAUUUAUACUUAGCCAGAAUUUCCAUCAACUUCUCUUCGUUUUCCUUUCAGGAUGUAUUUGGUGAUUAUAAAGCAGUUCAGCUAGAACAGCAUUCUUCGGCUCUGCAUUUUGAUUAUCAAAAGCAGAAUGAAUGUAAUAGUGGCUUUUCAAGGACAGUAAUUAGUUUAUUUUCAAGUAAUUGGCAACAUUAACCUACUUCAGCCAUCCAAGUGUAAGCUAUAAUGCUUUUAAACAUGGAUUUUAUAUAGAAGCUGUGUUGGAAUUAUAAAGUGAAGAUUUAGAAUAUAUGUUCCUUUUGUCUGUGAAUUUCUACUUUUUCUCUCAUCUUUGAAAGAAGAUUUUAUGAAACAUGAUAUUGAGGGUAGUAAGAUGAUGGGGUAGAGCAGAAUACUUGAGACUAUCAUUGUUAGUAGGAAGAGACUUGUUUUCGAGUAAAGUGAAAAUAAUUUCUAGUUUAUUGUACUAAUAACAAAUUUAGAAAAAUGACAGGUAUUUCUCUAUAAUGUGUCAACUUUAGUCUGAAAUACAGUGAAACAGAUAAAUAAUAACUUGUUACAUACUUUGAGAAGAAAUCUUAAUAGAUAUUUUGAGUGCUGGGUCUUAUUACUGUUAUUCUGUGUCAUUUUAUAGACACUUAGAAAAGGUGCUUCUUACCUGCUUGAUAAAUAGUUCAUAAAAUAUUAAUAAAAUCAAUUAGUAUCUGUUAGGAAUUCCUGCUGUCAAGAAAGUGAAGGAGGGUGUAUUGCAACUGGGCUAUAAUGUUCUCUUUUGAUUAGUCUGAAAAUUACCCACUCUAUAAGCAAUGACUCUGUUGAUUUGGCAUAUCUUACAAAGAUAUUUUACUUACAAAUUGAAUCUUGGAAGGCUGUGGUUCCAGAGUCGGGGUUUUGGGGGCGAGAUGAGCUUAUGUUUUAUCCAACUGGCCCACAAAGUCCCGCUUUUGGUGGUCACUUUGUUCUGCAAAAGAAAACAGCACAUUAUGGCUCUUACAAUGGACAGUAAAGUUAGUAGUAAACUACUGCUGCACUUAGUAAAGGGCUAUUAUACACUUUAAAUAAAUAAUAAUGUUCUAUCUUUAAUGUUGUCUUCAGCAAUAAAAAAGUGGAUAGAAAAUAAAAUAAAUCUGAAACCUAAACAUAAAACUUUUCUAACUGUUGGUGGUGGUUUUCUCUUAAAAAGCCAGAAAAAGCUGAAGAAAAAGUCACCUUUCAAAGGAUGGUCAUGCAAUACAGGUGAAUUGGGAGAAAAGAUGGUCCCUAAAAAGGAGAGGCAGUUUAUACCUUGAAAAAAUCUUUUAAACACUGGUAGCAUUUGUAUUGUCAAUCCCUACCUCUUUUUUUUUUUUUAUCCCCAACAAAGUAUUCCGUUGCAAAGUAUCUCUUGAACAUUUGAACAUUCCUUUCUGUGUGUCUAUGUGUGUCUAUAUGUUUAUGGUCUUUAUGAGUCAAUUUAAAGAUUGCUAAUUUUUGUACUGGUAUAAGUUGUAGAAUAUAUUAUUGUAAGGCAGUGUAAACCUGAGCUUGCUAGAGAGAGCUGUUUAAGUUCAUGCUACUAUUUGAAUUUUGGUAUCAAUAUCCUAAAGAAUUGAAGUAUUAUUUUUACUUAAAAUUUACAUAACUGUACUUUCCUCAUGGGAUUCUAGAAAGUGUUGAAAACACUGGUAGAGGUACUGAACUUUCUCAUGGUUGCAAAUACACUGCACAGAUAUUUACCACUGAAUGAACACAUGAUACAACUUGUAAUUUAUACAAUGUUUCACAUAUACAGCAUAUUCAUACAACAUACAUGCAGGAGCUCAGCUGGUGUAAAUGUGUCUGUGAUAUUUUUGACAUUUAAUGCCAGCUUAAGCUACACGUAAACAUCCAGACAUUCACAUUGUGAUCACAUUGUCACUGCAGUCAGGUUAAUUUUAAGAGUUGACCUAUACAGACUAAAUCAAUUUGAGUAUUUCAAAAAGGCCUGGAAAUUCAGCUGAAGUGAGACAGUGACACACUGUUAAAGCAAAGUUGUUGGCAUGUAAUUUAUCUGAUGACUAUAUGCAGGAUCUGUAUGUUUUUGUAAAUGAAUAUCAGGAUGAGUUAUCAAAUUUUUCUCCAGAAUUCUCACAUUUUACAUUUUAUAUCAAUAUAAUUGCAGAAAAAGUGAAAUAGGAUGUAUCCAAACCUCAGUGCAACAAAUUUCUCACUUGUUGAAGACUGAAAUCUGAUUUGGAGGAUCUUAGGUCAGAACUGUGGUGCCAAUAUCCUUUUUAGCUAAUAUUUUCCAUGAAAAUAAUACUGUUCAGAAGCAGCAUUUAUGAAAGGUUAAAUUCAAUUAAGCCAAUUAGGUUAAAAAUUUAACCGUAGAAAUUUUUUAUUUUUGACUUAUACUAACUAGAGUAUAUUAGUACUUAGUUUGUGAAUACAUUCCAGACUUGUCCAGUCUUCCUAGUUGUCAGAUUUGGAUUGGUUUCAUUCCUGUGGUCUCUCCUCUAGUAUUCUGAGAAUGUAAGAGCAGAGAAUCAGAGAUGAGAAAGUGGAUCAAUGUGAGGAUCUCGCUUUAAGGGAAAAGAGAAACACAUCCAAACAUCAGCAAAGAUCAGCUCUGUUCUGCUGAAAUACCACAGUUGCUUCAUACCAACUGUUACUUAAAAGCUCUUAAAUUAAAACGUAAUUUUGUACAGCUACUUCCAGUAAAAUGUAAAGAUCACACUUUGUAAAUCAGCUAUUUUUAGAUUAUUUUUUAAAAUAGAUUCUAUCUGGCUCUCUACUGAGGAUAUAUAAAAUUCACUUGCAUUCCUUCUAGCACCAGGAACCUAGCUAUAGGAUUAAUACACUAUUUAAAUGAUUAAUGAGCAGUGUUAAAGAACACAGUUACGCUUCUGUAGGCCUUCCUCAUACAAUAUUUUUAUUCACAUUUUUUCCCCAUCAAUAAAUUUUACAGAAAGAGGUCCUGUUUGUCUCUGGUGUGCAGUAAAACAAUUUUUCUGCCGCUAUAGAUAUCAUGCAUAUAUUUUAAACUUUAUAUGUAUGUGCAUUUUGUAUGUGUUACUUAAAUUAAUGAUGAUUAGACAAAACAUUGAUAGAUUUCCUAAACAGCCGUGUUAUAAAAAUUUGAUCUCUUUCCCUCAGACUGGUUUUCCCAGCAGGUUUGUGUGCAGCUUGGGGUGCUGGCCUCAGGGCUGAGACUCCUGAAGUGAACUGUGUAUCCACAGUAUUAAUAAUUAAAUACCUGGGAUCAGUCUAUCUUGCUAUUUUAUAUGAAAAAAGGAAUUUACAGAAGAUAAAAAGUAGAUGGUAUGUUUGUAAUAAAAAUUAAUUUUUCUUCAGAUAAAAAUGUCAUUAAUUAUUGAAAAAAAUUUAGAAAUAUCAACCCCAAUUAUUUAUUGCAUUUAUAAUUUACAAAAUUGAAAGUCCUACUAGCUAUCUUUCUAUUUAGAAUAAAUUUAAAAAUACAGUUUUAGAAUUACUUUUCUGCAUUUUUAAGCAAACCUUUAAAAAAAUAGCUCACAAACACACUGAAUCAGCAGAGGAUUACCACAUGGCCUAAUCUGUUUACUUUUGAAAUUUUAUUGAAAGCAGUGAAAAGAUCAGGAUCUCCACCGGAGUCCUGUGGCAUGGUCUGGGGCCUGUAUUUUCUGAAGCAAGGCCUCAACCUUUGACACCUCCUGAUCCCGUGUUGCAACAGAAAGUUUUGUGACUCCCCUCAGAUCCAGCCACAGAAAAAGAGACAGAGAGCAAGCAGCAGCAAAUAUUCUGUGGAGUUCUGCAGUAUUAAGGACCAGUGAAGGGAGCACUCCUUGAACUACAAAUUGUAUCACCUUUAUACAGAAGACUUAAUGUGAACAGAGGGGAGAUUUUUGUACAAGUCUUUUGGAGGAUCUGCUAGUCACAAUUCUUUGUAAAGAAUACUGUAAUAGAUUUGAGCAUUAAACUUGAUCUAAUUAUCUAUUUUUCCUGUGUUACAAUCUUAUUUUACAUGUACUCUUUCAACGAUACCCACAUUUUUUUCUCCCAGUAUAUGCAAUCAUUCAUAUAAUUUCUUCCAUGAAUAACUUGUUGAUUGAACAGCUGAUUCUUGCAUAUACGCCUAUUUAUAUACAUACAGGUGGUAGGAAAAGUUAGAUUCCUUCUGAAUGUGUGCUCUGUAACUAUAUAAAAAUACAUUUAUCAUAUGACACUACUUUAAAGAAAAAUAUAUGCUUAGACCAUGUAAUCCUGAGAUUCAAUUCAAGGAUCAGGAUCAAAAUAAGUAACAUGAUACUCCAGUCCAUUUUACAUCUAAUAGGCAUCACCUGGCAUUUAAUUAUCUUUUUUUUUUUUUUUACACAGUUUUAUCACUGAAAAAUAAGCAUUAUAAAAUGAGAGUAAAGCAUAAGAUUUGAGAUGUGUACUUAAAUUUCUGAAUUCAAAUACUUGCUUCAAAUUGUUUAAGUAUUUAAAUAAUUUUGGUAUGAAACAGUAUGUCACAAAAAUCUUUGGAUCUGAUAUAGCUUCAGAGAAAGGACUGCAAAACUCAUCUGUAAAACUGUCCAAUGCAGCUGAUAGCACAUUGGAAAUAGGCUGUGAGUAGGGCUCAGUGUCAAACAAUUUGUAAAAGAUAAUAUUUUUUCUCUGUUUUCUUAAAUAUUAGCAAAGCACAGAUUUCUCUUAGCCUCUUCUGACAGAUUUUAGUUUCUUUUAAUUAUAAGGCCAAAAGACAUUAACAGGAACAAAAAAAUUGCUCCAUGAAUAAAUCGCCACUACUACACUUCUCAAUUAUAUUAAACUGUUUCAGACUUUGUUAAUUUGUUGCCAUUUAUGGCUGCUUAAAGAUGUGUAAAUAGUUUUAUUUUUCCUUAACUUUUGAAUGUGUACAAUUUUGUUCCCAUAUUUAAGUAAUUAGUGCCAAGAUUCUGAGUGAAGUGGAUCUUUAUAAUUGUAUUAUCAACAAGUGCAAAUGUCAGUUAUGAAAUCCAUGGCUGACACAAUUUCAGCUAUAGCUGGAAGAAAACUGUUGUACAUACACGUCUGCAACACAAGGAAUCAAUGAGUGUGAAUAAAAUCAUUAAAAGAACCACAUAUUUUAUAAUCAGACUUUCAUCAAGAUACGACAUAUUUUAUACUUAAAAAACUAAAAUAGAAUCUGCAAUGUUUGGAGAGUAUUAAUUUAUUCAGUAGUUAGACUUAACAGGUGAGAUUACCCAGUGAAUAAUUGACUGAAAAACUGGAAUUCUUAAUCAAAAUUACUUUUUUGUUGA